rnacentral:rRNA from 1 species
UUCCUACGGGAGGCAGCAGUGGGGAAUAUUGGACAAUGGGCGCAAGCCUGAUCCAGCCAUGCCGCGUGUGUGAAGAAGGCCUUCGGGUUGUAAAGCACUUUCAGUGGGGAGGAAGGGUGUUGUUUUAAUAGAGCAGCAUUUUGACGUUACCCACAGAAGAAGCACCGGCUAACUCCGUGCCAGCAGCCGCGGUAAUACGGAGGGUGCAAGCGUUAAUCGGAAUUACUGGGCGUAAAGCGCACGCAGGCGGCUUUUUAAGUCGGAUGUGAAAGCCCCGGGCUCAACCUGGGAAUUGCAUCUGAUACUGGGAAGCUAGAGUAUGUGAGAGGGGGGUAGAAUUCCAAGUGUAGCGGUGAAAUGCGUAGAGAUUUGGAGGAAUACCAGUGGCGAAGGCGGCCCCCUGGCACAAUACUGACGCUCAGGUGCGAAAGCGUGGGGAGCAAACAGGAUUAGAUACCCGGGUAGUC